AAAGUGACAGGUGGUGCAUGGUUGUCGUCAGCUCGUGUCGUGAGAUGUUGGGUUAAGUCCCGCAACGAGCGCAACCCUUAAGCUUAGUUGCCAGCAUUAAGUUGGGCACUCUAAGUUGACUGCCGGUGACAAACCGGAGGAAGGUGGGGAUGACGUCAAAUCAUCACGCCCCUUAUGAUUUGGGCUACACACGUGCUACAAUGGACAAUACAAAGGGCAGCUAAACCGCGAGGUCAUGCAAAUCCCAUAAAGUUGUUCUCAGUUCGGAUUGUAGUCUGCAACUCGACUACAUGAAGCUGGAAUCGCUAGUAAUCGUAGAUCAGCAUGCUACGGUGAAUACGUUCCCGGGUCUUGUACACACCGCCCGUCACACCACGAGAGUCUGUAACACCCGAAGCCGGUGGAGUAACCAUUUAUGGAGCUAGCCGUCGAAGGUGGGACAAAUGAUUGGGGUGAAGUCGUAACAAGGUAGCCGUAUCGGAAGGUGCGGCUGGAUCACCUC
rnacentral:rRNA from 1 species